CACGUAGGGUGCGAGCGUUGUCCGGAAUUAUUGGGCGUAAAGAGCUCGUAGGCGGUGUGUCGCGUCGGCCGUGAAAACCUGCAGCUUAACUGUGGGCUUGCGGUCGAUACGGGCAUCACUGGAGUUCGGCAGGGGAGACUGGAAUUCCUGGUGUAGCGGUGAAAUGCGCAGAUAUCAGGAGGAACACCGGUGGCGAAGGCGGGUCUCUGGGCCGGUACUGACGCUGAGGAGCGAAAGCGUGGGGAGCAAACAGG
rnacentral:rRNA from 1 species